UUUUGGCAGAAUAGUGCUUUAAAUUUAGAAUUUAAAUAUGUAUAAAUUAAAUUAUACAAAUA
rnacentral:tRNA from 1 species